GGUCCUAUGGUGUAAAGGCUAGCACUCUCGACUUCUAAUCGAGCAAUCCGGGUUCGAACCCCGGUGGGACCU
rfam:Saprolegnia diclina VS20 unplaced genomic scaffold supercont1.62, whole genome shotgun sequence.